rnacentral:rRNA from 1 species
AGAGUUUGAUCCUGGCUCAGAACGAACGCUGGCGGCAUGCCUAACACAUGCAAGUCGAACGAGACCUUCGGGUCUAGUGGCGCACGGGUGCGUAACGCGUGGGAAUCUGCCCUUGGGUUCGUGAUAACAGUUGGAAAGGACUGCUAAUACCGGAUGAUGACUUCGGUCCAAAGAUUUAUCGCCCAGGGAUGAGCCCGCGUAGGAUUAGCUAGUUGGUGAGGUAAAGGCUCACCAAGGCGACGAUCCUUAGCUGGUCUGAGAGGAUGAUCAGCCACACUGGGACUGAGACACGGCCCAGACUCCUACGGGAGGCAGCAGUGGGGAAUAUUGGACAAUGGGCGAAAGCCUGAUCCAGCAAUGCCGCGUGAGUGAUGAAGGCCUUAGGGUUGUAAAGCUCUUUUACCCGGGAUGAUAAUGACAGUACCGGGAGAAUAAGCCCCGGCUAACUCCGUGCCAGCAGCCGCGGUAAUACGGAGGGGGCUAGCGUUGUUCGGAAUUACUGGGCGUAAAGCGCGCGUAGGCGGCUUUGUAAGUUAGAGGUGAAAGCCCGGAGCUCAACUCCGGAACUGCCUUAGGACUGCAUCGCUAGAAUUGUGGAGAGGUGAGUGGAAUACCGAGUGUAGAGGUGAAAUCCGUAGAUAUUCGGAAGACCACAGUGGGCGAAGGCGACUCACUGGGACACAUAUGGACCCUGUGGUGCAAAAGCGUGGGGAGCAAACCGGAUUGGAUUCCCUGGUANUUCAGGGCAAAUCCCGCACACC